rnacentral:rRNA from 1 species
AGCGAACGCUGGCGGCAGGCCUAACACAUGCAAGUCGAACGGAUCCUUCGGGAUUAGUGGCGGACGGGUGAGUAACACGUGGGAACGUGCCCUUUGGUUCGGAACAACUCAGGGAAACUUGAGCUAAUACCGGAUGUGCCCUUCGGGGGAAAGAUUUAUCGCCAUUGGAGCGGCCCGCGUCUGAUUAGCUAGUUGGUGAGGUAACGGCCCACCAAGGCGACGAUCAGUAGCUGGUCUGAGAGGACGAUCAGCCACACUGGGACUGAGACACGGCCCAGACUCCUACGGGAGGCAGCAGUAGGGAAUCUUGCGCAAUGGGCGAAAGCCUGACGCAGCCAUGCCGCGUGAAUGAUGAAGGUCUUAGGAUUGUAAAAUUCUUUCAGCGGGGACGAUAAUGACGGUACCCGCAGAAGAAGCUCCGGCUAACUUCGUG